CCGUCUUCGAAAACCCGGGACACACACACACACGCUGUAUUUUAUUCGAUAAUAUUUCCAAAUCGCCUGUGCUAUUUUUAUUUCUCAAUAAUUACGCCGUCUCAACCACCGAUUGCGGGAAACCGCUAGUGGAAAAUAAUCCUACCGUUAUGUAAGGUACACUAAUACAGUAAUUGUAUAAUCGUGAUCAACAAUUUUUCA